CGACGCCGCGUGGGUGACGAAGGCCUUCGGGUUGUAAAGCCCUGUGGGGUAGAACGAACUGGCAUCGGGCUAAUAUCUCGGUGUCUUGACGGUACUGCCUUAGCAAGCAUCGGCUAACUCUGUGCCAGCAGCCGCGGUAAGACAGAGGAUGCGAACGUUGCUCGGAUUUACUGGGCGUAAAGCGCGUGUAGGCGGUCUCGUUAGUCGGGUGUGAAAGCCCCGGGCUCAACCCGGGAAGUGCACCCGAUACUGCGAGACUGGGGUACUGAAGAGGAGAGCGGAAUUCCCGGUGUAGAGGUGAAAUUCGUAGAUAUCGGGAGGAACACCAGUGGCGAAGGCGGCUCUCUGGGCAGAUACCGACGCUGAGACGCGAAAGCGUGGGGAGCAAACAGGAUUAGAUACCCUGGUAGUCCACGCUGUAAACGAUGACGACUGGGUGUUGCAGGUAUUGACCCCUGCGGUGCCGAAGCCAACGCGUUAAGUCGUCCGCCUGGGAAGUACGGCCGCAAGGCUAAAACUCAAAGGAAUUGACGGGGG
rnacentral:rRNA from 1 species